UUAUAGUUUCAGCUAUAGUGGCUUUAAACAACACAAAUCAUUCUCUUAUGGUGCUUUUUAUUUGUUUUUUGCUUUUUUUUUUUUUUUGGUUUUUGGUUUUUUGAGACAGGGUUUCUCUGUAUGGCCCUGGUAGUCCCAGAACUCACUUUGUAGACCAGGCUGGCUUCGAACUCAGAAAUCAGCCUGCCUCUGCCUCCCAAGUGCUGGGAUUAAAGGCGUGUGCCACCACUGCCCGUUCUUCAUGACUCCUUUUAAACAUGAGCCAUGAGUCCCUCUUCAUCCUGCCUGGCCUCUUGUUUCUGUCCUUUUCUCUUUAGUUUCCUGUCACCCCUUUUCAGACUGGGGAAGUUUGGCUUGAUGACAGCUUUUAACUUCUGUUGUGCGUUUGGAGAUGAUUUUUCUCUUCCAGUGAGGGGUGGUUAAUAUGAAUUGCCGGCCUGGCAGUUCUUGCUUGGUCAUCAGGGUUAUCCUUUAAGUGUAUUGUUGACUCUGUUUGAUUCACAUUUGUUUAGGAAUUUAGUGUCUGGUUCCCAGGCUCACGUCUGUUUUCUUGUAACAACAGUUUGAACACCAUAGAGUCAGACUGGCCCCGUAGUCCCUGUUGACAGGGUUUUGUUUUGUUUUGUUUUGUUUUAAUCAUUUACUUUGGAGCAGUUUGUAGUACCACGAAAGUUAUCUAGCCCUGGGAUUUUCUUCUGUGGAUGUUUUAAGGUAUAAUGUAAAUUUUUAGAACAUAGAACUAUUUAGUUUUUUUCCUACCUUGGAUGAGCUUUGGUGACUGAACCUUUAAAGGAAUUUGGAUAUUUUAUUUAAGUUGUCAAAGUUAUUAACAAAAUUAGUCCUAAUAUUUCCUUAUGUCUUUUUACUAUUUACAAGGCCUCUCUUGCCCUUGGUGUUUAUCAUUGUUCUCUUGAUGAGUAUCAUUGUACAAGCUGCCCUUGAAGACCCCUUCUUGAAGAGUCUGCCUUGACCUUCUCAGUGCUAGGCUUAUUUCUGAUGCAUUUUUAUUGUUUGAUUUGCUUUUUUUUGGCUAUACUUUGCUGUCUGUAUUUUAUUUGUAUUUUAUGGGUUUGUUUGUUGGUUGGUUUUAAGGUGAAAACUGAUUUUCAGCCUUUAGGUAUUUAUUGAAGAUUUUCUUGGAUCUGUAGGUUAACAGUUUUUUUUAUUAACUUUAACACAAAUUUUAUUUCUUAGGAUUGCUUCCUGUCUUGCCCCUCCCUACUCCAUUUUAGAAGCUCUGAAUAGCCUUGUAGUAGACAGGAUGAAGUUGACCUCCAGCUGACCUUUCGGGUUGGGCUCUGUGCUGAGCAUCACAGGGCUGUGCUGGCUUACCUGCUCGCUGGCCUUACUUUCCUAGGGUCUGAUACUGUUACAUCCAAUACACUGUUCAUCUAUAGAAAUACUGUUUUGUUGUGGUUUUUCUGUAUUUGAUUUCUCUUGUAUCUACUUCUUUUUCCAGGCUAGGGCUCAGCCCAGGCCCUUGGCAUGAUAGGAAACACUUACGCAGAGCUACAAUCCCAGCCUCGGUUUUCUACUUUAAAAAUUGGUUUUUGGACAGAAGGCUGAGUCCAGGGUCUUGCAUGUACUAUUUCAACUUUCCACUUUGAGAUGGUGUUUCAGUGAGUUCCCAACUGACCUUGCACUUACAGUGUUGCACACCUCGGUCAGUUCUCAGUGAGCUGUGGCUCACUGCUCUUGUAUGUUUUCCUGUGUGCUGGGUAGCCUUGGGCUGAGUGCUGAGAGUGGGGGAGGCCUACAUUGGUAGGUACUGUUAUGGCAUCUUUUAUUCUCCUAUAGUGACUGUCAUCUCCAAGGCUCACUGCCUCCAUCUGCUGACCUAGGCCUAGUCCUGGAAGCUUCUCGUCUCCAUACAAUCUUAUCCAGGCCUAGAAUGUCAGCCUCUGAAACUUAUUGCUGAAUAAGCUCACCCUUUCUAGUUCUUUCUGAGCUCUGGCUGGUUGGUUCAACUCAGCCGUUCUGGCCCAAACUCCUCUCCAAGCUGACUGAUUGAAUCUGACUUUUCUCUGCCACUCCUGAAUGGCUCUGCUUGACCUCAAACUAACUUUGGCAAUCUGUUCUACUGGCUCCUUCUCAUUUUCUGGCUCAUUCUGUCUUCACCUGUGUCUAGCUUGUUCUUUCUCUUCAACCUGUCUCUGUACCACUGUCCCAGUAAAAACUCUUCUCUGUCUCUGCACUGUUCUCUUUAGUAGCUUCCCUUUCUUCUCUCUUAUCAUGACAGUUGGGCAUAUCUUCUUCUGUCAAAUCUUUCUCUGAUUUGUCACUUUGCCAUUCAGUUAGACAUCACUUUCAAACAUGGCUGCUUCCUUCUCCAAACUAACUUUACCUUCAUUGUCUUGGAUUAAAGAUGUGUGCUAAGUAAGGCUGAGCUGCACCACAAUUGGAAAGAGGUUUUUGUUUGUGUGUUUGUUUUAGUAAAUAACACAAUCUUGGGGUUCACAGUGCAAUCAGAUAUCUUGCAACAAGAUGCUGGUAUCUUUAUUCCUUGUAACUGUUUUGAGCUACGGUGGAAGAUGCAGGAAAGUGACUUGGAAAUGUCACUCCAUUGAGGUCUUGCUUGUUCUUGUUCUUCUGUGCUUGCUUGUUUCUGGUGAUGUUGGCCUUGGAUAAGCAGGCUCUGGCCCUUUGAGCUGCUUCCCCGGUUCCUUGAGGUCUGCAGCUGGGCGCCUCAGGUUUGGAUUGUUCUCUAGCAACAAGGCAUGACUUCUUGGUCUACCCUCCAGUUUUCUGUGAGUCAUAGGGCUUAGUUAUUGUUCUUUAGUUUCAUGGGUUGGAAUAGAUGGUCUUCCUGACUCAUGUGAACGCCAGACAAGGUGGCACGAGUCUUCUUUAUCAGUUACUUCCCCAGCCUUAGGUACCUCAGGUACAUAUGUGAUCAGCAUUUUGCUGAGAGCCCAGUGGAGAACCCCACCCUCUACCCCUUUAGAGAACAUUUGUUACUUUUUCACAUUUAUUUUUAUUAUUUCUAAGGGGUGUGUGUGUGUGUGUGUGUGUGUGUGUACACAUGGGUGCCCUCAGAAGCCAGAGGUGUCAAUUCCCUUGGAGCUGGAGUUAGAGAUUGUUAUGAGUCACCAUGUGGGUGUCAGGAAUCAUCAAACUGUGGUCUUCUGCAAGAGCAGCCAGUGCUCUUAACCACUGAACCACCUCUUUCCCCAUUCCUGAGGCUCCCUGCCACAGCUCCCUGCCCUGGUUUUUUUCUCAGGAGUCCUCACUGCCUGCUGUCUGCAGUCUCAGCUUCUUCUCAGCUUAGACUUGGAGAAUUCACUGAGUUCUAGUAGUUUCUCCUGCCACAUUGUGGCCAGCAACACAAGGUGAGCGAACUCCACCUCAUGCUGUUUCUUGCUUCCAGUUUUCAAGGUCUUGAGCCCACCCAGACAGGUCAGAUGCAUCUUAAAAGCAUCUGAGUAGAAUCUUGGUUUCUACUGCACCAGUGGUUGCCGCUCCUCACAUGAUCUACCACAUUCACAGGGUAUUGAGAUAAUGGCGGAACCUGCCAGGGAAGCCUGUAGACAUUAUCAUGUUCUCUACAGAUGG
rnacentral:lncRNA from 1 species